CCUACGGGAGGCAGCAGUGGGGAAUAUUGCGCAAUGGGCGAAAGCCUGACGCAGCGACGCCGCGUGAGGGAUGAAGGUCUUCGGAUCGUAAACCUCUGUCAGCAGGGAAGAACGGUCACUGUGCUAAUCAGCAGUGAAUUGACGGUACCUGCAAAGGAAGCACCGGCUAACUCCGUGCCAGCAGCCGCGGUAAUACGGAGGGUGCGAGCGUUAAUCGGAAUUACUGGGCGUAAAGCGCUCGUAGGCGGUAUGUCAAGUCAAGGGUGAAAUCCCCGCGCUCAACGUGGGAACUGCCUUUGAAACUGGCAAACUGGGGUGUGUGAGAGGAUGGUGGAAUUCCAGGUGUAGGAGUGAAAUCCGUAGAUAUCUGGAGGAACAUCAGUGGCGAGGGCGACUAUCUGGCACAUAACUGACGCUGAGGAGCGAACGCGUGGGUAGCAAACGGGAUUGGGUACCCUCGUCGU
rnacentral:rRNA from 1 species